UACUUACUCCUACGGGAGGCAGCAGUGAGGAAUUUUCCGCAAUGGGCGAAAGCCUGACGGAGCAAUACCGCGUGAAGGAUUAAGGCCCAUGGGUCGUAAACUUCUUUUAUGCCAGAGAAAGAAUAAUGACGGUAUCUAAGAGAUGGCUGAUCGA
rnacentral:rRNA from 1 species